GACCUAAACCUUUAGAAAUAAAGGCAUGGUCGCGAAACACGGUCUGUGAUAAAGAACUCCUAGUCAGAGUUUGCACAGACCGUGUCAUAUCGGGAAACCGGUAUGGAUAACCGCAAGGUUAUC
rnacentral:sRNA from 12 species